rnacentral:tRNA from 1 species
GUCCCCGUAGCUCAGCGGAUAGAGCGAUCGCCUCCUAAGCGAUAGGUCACAGGUUCAAGUCCUGUCGGGGACGCCA